ensembl:lncRNA ADAMTS9-AS1 ADAMTS9 antisense RNA 1
UGAGGCGGCCAGACUUGGAACACUCAGGAAUACAGACAGACGUAGGAAUUGCUUAAAAACAAGAAGUUCUCCCACCCUUGUUGGAGCGAAUGCGCGAGUCUGACAGUGAACCUUUUGGGAAAGAGCCAGCAUUGUAACCGUGCUCGGUGACUUCUCUGGCUUUAUAGGGAACAGAUGUGAGGAUAGCAAGGGGCGCACACGUGAAAUGCCUGGCAGGUACCCCUUUGUGGCUCUACUUACUUCUUGCCAUUCCUCUGCCCUCCAAGUGUAGAGGGGACACCGUGGGCCUUGGCAGUCGCGUUCCGACUCCGGUCUGGUGUAUGGGUUGCACUCGGUCUCUCUGGCUAUUUUGUGUGUUCCGAUCUGACAGCCCACAUGCCUCUGCUGUACGCCUCGGCCACAGGACACAGAGCACUAAGAAGACAGAGAACAUAAAUCUAUGCCAGAGAGGAGAACCAUAUGUUCACAUCAAAGCUAGCUGAACAGAAGAAAAUAUUUUGGAUCAACAUAGCUACUAUUGUUUGGGCUCAAUUGUAUUAAUUGGAUUGAAUGAGUUUGUGACCCACAAGAAACCAGACUUUUAAAGUCAUUAUGUCCUGGGUGUAAUGGGAGGAUUCCUGAACACAAGUGAUGACCCUAUCUAUAGAGAAUGGCCAUUUAAUGCUCAUUAGAGCUACAUGAAUAAUAUUUCCCAUUGAUUACACUGGAAAAGAAUGUACUGUAACAUGAUAGAGUUACCCCAUAAAUGAUGGACAUGUUCAAAUAUUAUCAUCAUCAAUAAACAACAACCAAAAAGU